GGACCCGCACAAGUAGUGGAGCAUGUGGUUUAAUUCGAAGAUACGCGCAGAACCUUACCAACACUUGACAUGUUCGUCGCGACUUUAAGAGAUUAAAGUUUUCGGUUCGGCCGGACGAAACACAGGUGCUGCAUGGCUGUCGUCAGCUCGUGUCGUGAGAUGUUGGGUUAAGUCCCGCAACGAGCGCAACCCUCACUUUUAGUUGCCAUCAUUUAGUUGGGCACUCUGAAAGAACUGCCAGUGAUAAGCUGGAGGAAGGUGGGGAUGACGUCAAGUCCUCAUGGCCCUUACGUGUUGGGCUACACACGUGCUACAAUGGUAUCUACAACAGGAAGCAAAACGGCGACGUUAAGCAAAUCCUUAAAAGAUACCUCAGUUCGGAUUGUACUCUGCAACUCGAGUACAUGAAGCUGGAAUUACUAGUAAUCG
rnacentral:rRNA from 1 species